rnacentral:rRNA from 1 species
UACGUAGGGUGCGAGCGUUAAUCGGAAUUACUGGGCGUAAAGCGUGCGCAGGCGGUUCGUGAUGUCUGGUGUGAAAGCCCCCGGCUCAACCGGGGAACUGCACGGGAAACUGGAAGGCUUGAGUUCGGGAGAGGGAAGCGGAAUUCCGGGUGUAGCGGUGAAAUGCGUAGAUAUCCGGAGGAACACCGGUGGCGAAGGCGGCUUCCUGGACCGACACUGACGCUGAGGCGCGAAAGCUAGGGGAGCAAACGGG